rnacentral:rRNA from 1 species
UCCGAAGGGGGCUAGCGUUGUUUGGAAUUACUGGGCGUAAAGCGCACGUAGGCGGAUUGUUAAGUCAGAGGUGAAAUCCCGGAGCUCAACUUCGGAACUGCCUUUGAUACUGGCAAUCUAGAGUCCGGAAGAGGUUAGUGGAAUUCCCAGUGUAGAGGUGAAAUUCGUAGAUAUUGGGAAGAACACCAGUGGCGAAGGCGGCUAACUGGUCCGGUACUGACGCUGAGGUGCGAAAGCGUGGGGAGCAAACAGG